rnacentral:rRNA from 1 species
UGCGUAGGCGGGCUAAUAAGUCAGUGGUGAAAUCUCUCGGCUCAACCGGGAAACUGUCAUUGAUACUGUUAGUCUUGAGUUCGGUUGAGGUAGGCGGAAUGUGUAAUGUAGCGGUGAAAUGCUUAGAUAUUACACAGAACACCAAUUGCGUAGGCAGCUUACUAGACCGACACUGACGCUGAGGCACGAAAGCGUGGGGAGCGAACAGGAUUAGAUACCCUGGUAGUCC